rnacentral:rRNA from 1 species
UACAGAGGUCUCAAGCGUUGUUCGGAUUCAUUGGGCGUAAAGGGUGCGUAGGCGGCGCGGUAAGUCGGGUGUGAAAUCUCGGGGCUUAACUCCGAAACUGCAUUCGAUACUGCCGUGCUUGAGGACUGGAGAGGAGACUGGAAUUCAUGGUGUAGCAGUGAAAUGCGUAGAGAUCAUGAGGAAGACCAGUGGCGAAGGCGGGUCUCUGGACAGUUCCUGACACUGAGACACGAAGGCCAGGGGAGCAAACGGG